rnacentral:rRNA from 1 species
UACGAAGGGGGCUAGCGUUGCUCGGAAUUACUGGGCGUAAAGGGCGCGUAGGCGGGUCGUUAAGUUAGAGGUGAAAGCCCAGAGCUCAACCCUGGAAUUGCCUUUGAUACUGGCGGCCUUGAGUAUGGCAGAGGUGUGUGGAACUCCGAGUGUAGAGGUGAAAUUCGUAGAUAUUCGGAAGAACACCAGUGGCGAAGGCGACACACUGGGCCAUUACUGACGCUGAGGCGCGAAAGCGUGGGGAGCAAACAGG